rnacentral:rRNA from 1 species
AUUGCACGCUGGCGGCAGGCCUAACACAUGCAAGUCGAACGAGUGGCGGACGGGUGAGUAAUGUCUGGGAAACUGCCUGAUGGAGGGGGAUAACUACUGGAAACGGUAGCUAAUACCGCAUACCAUCAGAUGUGCCCAGAUGGGAUUAGCUGGUUGGUGGGGUAACGGCUAACCAAGGCGACGAUCCCUAGCUGGUCUGAGAGGAUGACCAGCCACACGGGAAAUGAGACACGGUCCAGACUCCUACGGUAGGCAGCAGUGGGGAAUAUUGCACAAUGGGCGAAAGCCUGAUGCAGCCAUGCCGCGUGUAUGAAGAAGGCCUUCGGGUUGUAAAGUACUUUCAGCGGGGAGGGGUUACCCGCAGAAGAAGCACCGGCUAACUCCGUGCCAGCAGCCGCGGUAAUUC